rnacentral:rRNA from 1 species
GAGCGGCAGCGCGGUCUUCGGACUGGCGGCGAGCGGCGGACGGCUGAGUAACGCGUAGGAAUGUACCCCAAAGUGAGGGAUAAGCACCAGAAAUGGUGUCUAAUACCGCAUGUGAUCCACGGAUUAAAGCUUUAUGCGCUUUGGGAACAGCCUGCGUCCGAUUAGCUAGUUGGUAGUGUAAUGGACUACCAAGGCGAUGAUCGGUAGCUGGUCUGAGAGGAUGAUCAGCCAGACUGGGACUGAGACACGGCCCAGACUCCUACGGGAGGCAGCAGUAGGGAAUUUUCCACAAUGGGGGCAACCCUGAUGGAGCAACGCCGCGUGCAGGAUGAAUGCCUUCGGGUUGUAAACUGCUUUUAUUAGUGACGAUUAUGACGGUAACUAAUGAAUAAGGACCUGCUAACUACGUG